rnacentral:rRNA from 1 species
GGAGCGUUCUGUAAGCCUGCGAAGGUGUGCUGUGAGGCAUGCUGGAGGUAUCAGAAGUGCGAAUGCUGACAUAAGUAACGAUAAAGCGGGUGAAAAGCCCGCUCGCCGGAAGACCAAGGGUUCCUGUCCAACGUUAAUCGGGGCAGGGUGAGUCGACCCCUAAGGCGAGGCCGAAAGGCGUAGUCGAUGGGAAACAGGUUAAUAUUCCUGUACUUGGUGUUACUGCGAAGGGGGGACGGAGAAGGCUAUGUUGGCCGGGCGACGGUUGUCCCGGUUUAAGCGUGUAGGCUGGUUUUCCAGGCAAAUCCGGAAAAUCAAGGCUGAGGCGUGAUGACGAGGCACUACGGUGCUGAAGCAACAAAUGCCCUGCUUCCAGGAAAAGCCUCUAAGCAUCAGGUAACAUCAAAUCGUACCCCAAACCGACACAGGUGGUCAGGUAGAGAAUACCAAGGCGCUUGAGAGAACUCGGGUGAAGGAACUAGGCAAAAUGGUGCCGUAACUUCGGGAGAAGGCACGCUGAUAUGUAGGUGAAGUCCCUUGCGGAUGGAGCUGAAAUCAGUCGAAGAUACCAGCUGGCUGCAACUGUUUAUUAAAAACACAGCACUGUGCAAACACGAAAGUGGACGUAUACGGUGUGACGCCUGCCCGGUGCCGGAAGGUUAAUUGAUGGGGUCAGCGCAAGCGAAGCUCUUGAUCGAAGCCCCGGUAAACGGCGGCCGUAACUAUAACGGUCCUAAGGUAGCGAAAUUCCUUGUCGGGUAAGUUCCGACCUGCACGAAUGGCGUAAUGAUGGCCAGGCUGUCUCCACCCGAGACUCAGUGAAAUUGAACUCGCUGUGAAGAUGCAGUGUACCCGCGGCAAGACGGAAAGACCCCGUGAACCUUUACUAUAGCUUGACACUGAACAUUGAGCCUUGAUGUGUAGGAUAGGUGGGAGGCUUUGAAGUGUGGACGCCAGUCUGCAUGGAGCCGGCCUUGAAAUACCACCCUUUAAUGUUUGAUGUUCUAACGUGGACCCGUGAUCCGGGUUGCGGACAGUGUCUGGUGGGUAGUUUGACUGGGGCGGUCUCCUCCUAAAGAGUAACGGAGGAGCACGAAGGUUGGCUAAUCCUGGUCGGACAUCAGGAGGUUAGUGCAAUGGCAUAAGCCAGCUUGACUGCGAGCGUGACGGCGCGAGCAGGUGCGAAAGCAGGUCAUAGUGAUCCGGUGGUUCUGAAUGGAAGGGCCAUCGCUCAACGGAUAAAAGGUACUCCGGGGAUAACAGGCUGAUACCGCCCAAGAGUUCAUAUCGACGGCGGUGUUUGGCACCUCGAUGUCGGCUCAUCACAUCCUGGGGCUGAAGUAGGUCCCAAGGGUAUGGCUGUUCGCCAUUUAAAGUGGUACGCGAGCUGGGUUUAGAACGUCGUGAGACAGUUCGGUCCCUAUCUGCCGUGGGCGCUGGAGAACUGAGGGGGGCUGCUCCUAGUACGAGAGGACCGGAGUGGACGCAUCACUGGUGUUCGGGUUGUCAUGCCA